UGCAUAUAUCCAAUGAGUUGAGAGCAAGC
rnacentral:piRNA from 1 species